rnacentral:rRNA from 1 species
UACGAAGGGGGCUAGCGUUGCUCGGAAUCACUGGGCGUAAAGCGCACGUAGGCGGAUUGUUAAGUCAGGGGUGAAAUCCUGGAGCUCAACUCCAGAACUGCCUUUGAUACUGGCGAUCUCGAGUCCGGGAGAGGUGAGUGGAACUGCGAGUGUAGAGGUGAAAUUCGUAGAUAUUCGCAAGAACACCAGUGGCGAAGGCGGCUCACUGGCCCGGAACUGACGCUGAGACGCGAAAGCGUGGGGAGCGAACGAGGAA